rnacentral:rRNA from 1 species
ACACGACUACAUUAGAUACCCCCGUAGUCCUAGCCGUAAACGAUACUCGCUAGGUGUCGGCCACGGUGCGACCGUUGUCGGUGCCGUAGGGAAGCCGUGAAGCGAGCCACCUGGGAAGUACGGCCGCAAGGCCGAAACUUAAAGGAAUUGGCGGGGGAGCACCACAACGGGUGGAGCUUGCGGUUUAAUUGGAUUCAACGCCGGAAAUCUUACCGGGACCGACAGCAACAUGAAGGCCAGGCUGAAGACUUUGCCGGAUUAGCUG